UCGAGGAUCUUCGGCAAUGGGGGCAACCCUGACCGAGCGACGCCGCGUGUGCGACGAAGGCCUUCGGGUUGUAAAGCACUGUCGAGGGGGAGGAAAGCCCCGCAAGGGGUGUGACCUAUCCCUGGAGGAAGCUCGGGCUAAGUUCGUGCCAGCAGCCGCGGUAAGACGAACCGAGCGAACGUUGUUCGGAAUCACUGGGCUUAAAGGGCGCGUAGGCGGGCUGCCCAGUCUGGGGUGAAAUCCUCCGGCUCAACCGGGGAAGGGCCUCGGAUACUGGCGGCCUCGAGGGGGGUAGGGGCACCUGGAACUGUGGGUGGAGCGGUGAAAUGCGUUGAUAUCCACAGGAACUCCGGUGGCGAAGGCGAGGUGCUGGACCCCAUCUGACGCUGAGGCGCGAAAGCCAGGGGAGCGAACGG
rnacentral:rRNA from 1 species